rnacentral:rRNA from 1 species
CCAAAACUUAACUUUUCAUUUAACCUUAAAGAAAAUCCUCACUACAAAAAGUAUUUUUCUAAAAAUUAAUUUAACCUAAUCAACCGCAAGGUACUAACAUUCAGCUUUUUCAAGAAAUGAUAACCUCAUGUCCCUCUUGCAUCAUGGAGAAGCAACAAAAAUAUAUUCAUAUACAUUCCCGAAUGACUAUGAGCUACUAACCCUUAAAAACCAAUGUUUCAUAAUUGGUAAAGUAACUAUUAGUAGGAGUAACAAGCCUCUCAUAUAGUCAGAUAGCUGGUUUUUCUUCAAAAGCAUCAAAGUACUAGCUUAUAGGUAAUCUCAACACCUAAAACUAUAAAGCUUAAUUUAUUGGGGAUUAGCUCAAUAAAACUUUAAAAAUAUUUUACCCUUCAACUUCAUCAGUAGACUUAAAAGCAGCCACCUCAUAACGUUUUAGUUAUCGCAAUAUUUUAUCAAAUAUCUAUUAUAUCUAUUUUAACCACAAAGAAAUUUAACAGAAAACUUUCUUGUUACUAAACAGGCAUUCUAUUAGUAUUUAACGUAAGAACCAUCCAAUACUUUUAAAAACUUGGAACAAAAUCUCUUUACAAGUCAAAAAUAUGCAAGGCGAACUCGGCAAAUCCGUUCCAUGCCUGUUUACCAAAAACAUCGUCUUCUGAGAGCCUAGAAUAGAAGAUAAUGCCUGCCCAGUGAAAACUUAAACGGCCGCGUUAGCGUGAGCGUGCUAAGGUAGCGUAAUAAUUAGCCUUUUAAUUGAAGGCCAGUGAAUGGCAAGACUAGGAACACCUUUACUUUGCAUGUCAAAAAAACUUUUCAUCUAAGCGAAAAAACUUAGAUAAUAAAGGUAGACGAAAAGACCCCGCGGAGCUUUACUUUAUCUUGUACUUAUCAUAUACCAACCCUAAAUACUCAAAGUUUGAUUGGGGCAAUCUUGGAAUAAGCAAAACUUCCAAUCUUUCAAAUAAGCUUAUCUAAAACUUAUUAAGGACCAAAAAGAAGUUACCCCGGGGAUAACAGCGUAAUUCAACUUGAGAGUACAUAUCGAAAGUUGGGUUUGCGACCUCGAUGUUGGCUUAAGGAUAUCCACAUAAGUGCAACCGCUAUGAAAGGAUAGUCUGUUCGACUAUUAUACCCUUACACGAGCUGAGUUAAGACCGGCGCAAGCUAGGUUGGUUUCUAUCUCCUUUAACUAAAAAUCUUCUUGAUUGUACGAAAGGACCCCGAAAGUUGCAUCAAUAAAGCAAUUUAAUUAAAUUAAUUCUAAUUUAU